rnacentral:rRNA from 1 species
AGAUCGGCUUACUGGUCGUGCUUUUGUACGUACUGGUAUAAUCGGUUUCUCCUUUCUGACGAACUUUAAUGCCAUUAAUUUGGUGUUUUAGGGAAUCAGGACUGUUACUUUGAAAAAAUUAGAGUGUUUAAAGCAGGCUCACGCUUGAAUACAUUAGCAUGGAAUAACGGAAUAGGACGUUUGAUUCUAUUUUGUUGGUUUCUAGGAUCGACGUAAUGAUUAAUAGGGAUAGUUGGGGGCAUUAGUAUUCAAUUGUCAGAGGUGAAAUUCUUGGAUUUAUUGAAGACUAACUACUGCGAAAGCAUUUGCCAAGGAUGUUUUCAUUAAUCAAGAACGAAAGUUAGGGGAUCGAAGACGAUCAGAUACCGUCGUAGUCUUAACCAUAAACUAUGCCGACUAGGGAUCGGAUGAUGUUAAUUUUUUAAUGACUCAUUCGGCGCCUUACGGGAAACCAAAGUGUUUGGGUUCCGGGGGGAGUAUGGUCGCAAGGCUGAAACUUAAAGGAAUUGACGGAAGGGCACCACCAGGGGUGGAGCCUGCGGCUUAAUUUGACUCAACACGGGGAAACUCACCAGGUCCAGACAUAGUAAGGAUUGACAGAUUGAGAGC